ACGAACGCUGGCGGCAGGUCCUAACACAUGCAAGUCGAACGCGUGCCUUCGGGCACGAGUGGCGGACGGGUGAGUAACGCGUGGGAAUUUGCCUUGGGGUACGGAAUAACCGCGGGAAACUGCGGCUAAUACCCUAUACGUCCUUCGGGAGAAAGAUUUAUCGCCCUGGGAUGGGCCCGCGUCGGAUUAGCUAGUUGGUGGGGUAAAGGCUCACCAAGGCGACGAUCCGUAGCUGGUCUGAGAGGAUGAUCAGCCACACUGGGACUGAGACACGGCCCAGACUCCUACGGGAGGCAGCAGUGGGGAAUAUUGGACAAUGGGCGCAAGCCUGAUCCAGCCAUGCCGCGUGAGUGAAGAAGGCCUUAGGGUUGUAAAGCUCUUUCACCCGCGAAGAUGAUGACGGUAGCGGGAGAAGAAGCCCCGGCUAACUCCGUGCCAGCAGCCGCGGUAAUACGGAGGGGGCAAGCGUUGUUCGGAUUUACUGGGCGUAAAGGGCGCGUAGGCGGAUGUUCGCGUCAGAGGUGAAAGCCCCGGGCUCAACCUGGGAACUGCCUUUGAAACGGGACAUCUUGAGUUCGGAAGAGGGUAGCGGAAUUCCCAGUGUAGAGGUGAAAUUCGUAGAUAUUGGGAAGAACACCCAGUAGCGAAGGCGGCUACCUGGGUCCGACACUGACGCUGAGGCACGAAAGCGUGGGGAGCCAACAGGAUUAGAUACCCUGGU
rnacentral:rRNA from 1 species